ensembl:lncRNA
CAGGCGACACAAAGGAUGUAAGAGUGAUGGUGGUUGAUUAGGAGAGCCAAAGCCAAGGGGACAGGGAAACAACUGGGGCAAAACAAAGAAAACGGGACUCAAAAGCUGAAUGUCCAAAACGAGAAAGCACAGAAGAUAAUAAACGGGAUUCAGAAGCACAAAAGUAGUGUGAGUGACAGGUGCAGGUGACCGUGCAAUCAGGAGAUUGGGAAGGUGACAGGUGAGUGUGAUCAGUAUUGGGAAGGUGACAGGUGAGUGUGAUCAGUAUUGGGAAGUUGACAGGUGUGUGUGAUCAGUAUUAGGAAGUUGACAGGUGAGUGUGAUCAGUAUUCGGGUGAUUGUAGGGGCGACAGUGGUACAGGAGGUAGAGAAGUCGUUUAGUAAUCAGAAGGUUGCUAGUUCAAUUCCCUGUCGAAGCGUCCUUGAGCAAGACACUGAACCCCUAAUUGCUCCUGAUGUGCAGUGUGCCAUCAGUGUAAAUGUAAAAAUGUGUAU